AACACUCGCAUACAUGUUAGACUCCUUGGUCCGUGUUUCAAGACGGGUCGUUUAAAGCCAUUACGUCAGCGUCCUUAACGAAUUUAUGCUCGCUCUAACCUUUUAAUCAAUAAUUAGAUCAUAGUCAGCAUGCUGUCUAUAACCCAACAUCGAAUUAGAGGCCAGGCGGCUAGCCUAAAAGGUAUCCGUUGCAACCCUCGAUCCCAAACAUCACAUUAAUUAAGAGCUAUAACACUCCCGAAAGAGCUACCUUCUCCCAAUCAUUUUAUGACGUUCAAAAUCGACGCUAACCUGCCAAGCAAAGAAAUGCAUUUCAAGGUUAGGUUCAAAAAAAUCCCCUUUCCAUAAAAUUGAUUCCUGCCAGCAUGACUGACUUCAAUCGUUUCCCUUUCAACAAUUUCACGUACUAUUUAACUCUCUUUUCAAAGUUCUUUUCAUCUUUCCCUCACGGUACUUGUUCGCUAUCGGUCUCUCGCUUAUAUUUAGCAUUAGGUGAAAUUUACCACCCAUUUAGAGCUGCAUUCCCAAACAACUCGACUCUUAGAAAACGUAUUGAUAACAUCCCAGAGGUUGAUAUACACGGGAUUCUCACCCUCCAUGAUACCUUAUCCCAAAGGAUUUAAACCAACCUGGAACAUUAAAAACGUUUCUUCAGAUUACAACUCGACCUGGUAAAACCAAGUAGAUUUAAAAUUUGUGCUCUUCCCGCUUCACUCGCCGUUACUAGGGGAAUCCUUGUUAGUUUCUUUUCCUCCGCUUAUUGAUAUGCUUAAGUUCAGCGGGUACUCUCACUUGACUUGAGGUCAUUCUCAGAAAUUAUACACUAACUCCUAAAUAUAUAUUAGUUGAUAAUGUAAUAAACUUUAAUGAUUAACGACUUUUAUUAGUACGUAUCACAUUAUAUAAUUCUUAAUUUUAGGUAAUCGACAUAAAAUUGAAUAACCCAGAUCCGCAACACCAAAAGAUGUAACGAUGCUUAUUUUUAACUGACCCUCAAGCAAGUGUACUCCUCGGAAUACCAAGGAAUGCAAUUUGCGUUCAAAGAUUUAAUGAUUCACGGAAUUUUGCAAUUCACAUUACUUUUCGCAUUUCGCUGCGUUCUUCAUCGAUGCGAGAGCCAAGAGAUCCGUUGUUGAAAGUUUUUUUUUUUUAUUUUUAUUAAAAAAUUUAGGUUUGAAAGAGUUGGGUUUUAAAUACAAGAGGUAUAAAAUACCUCAAAAAUUUUUAAUGAUCCUUCCGCAGGUUCACCUACGGAAACCUUGUUACGACUUUUACUUCCUCUAAAUGACCAAGUUUGACCAACUUCUCAUCAAACAGAUGCCGGUUAAGGCUUCCAUUCGUCGAUCCGAGGGUCUCACUAAGCCAUUCAAUCGGUAGUAGCGACGGGCGGUGUGUACAAAGGGCAGGGACGUAAUCAGCAUGAGCUGAUGACUCACGCUUACUAGGGAUUCCUCGUUGAAGAGCGA
rnacentral:misc_RNA from 1 species